ACGCUAGCUACAGGCUUAACACAUGCAAGUCGAGGGGAAACGGCAUUUAGUGCUUGCACCGAAUGGACGUCGACCGGCGCACGGGUGAGUAACGCGUAUCCAACCUACCCAUUACUGUGGGAUAACCUGCCGAAAGGCAGACUAAUACCGCAUAGUCUUCGAUGACGGCAUCAGAUUUGAAGUAAAGAUUUAUCGGUAAUGGAUGGGGAUGCGUCUGAUUAGCUUGUUGGCGGGGUAACGGCCCACCAAGGCGACGAUCAGUAGGGGUUCUGAGAGGAAGGUCCCCCACAUUGGAACUGAGACACGGUCCAAACUCCUACGGGAGGCAGCAGUGAGGAAUAUUGGUCAAUGGGCGCGAGCCUGAACCAGCCAAGUAGCGUGCAGGAUGACGGCCCUAUGGGUUGUAAACUGCUUUUGUAUGGGGAUAAAGUCAAUCACGUGUGAUUGUUUGCAGGUACCAUACGAAUAAGGACCGGCUAAUUCCGUGCCAGCAGCCGCGGUAAUACGGAAGGUCCGGGCGUUAUCCGGAUUUAUUGGGUUUAAAGGGAGCGUAGGCCGGAGAUUAAGUGUGUUGUGAAAUGUAGACGCUCAACGUCUGACUUGCAGCGCAUACUGGUUUCCUUGAGUACGCACAAUGUUGGCGGAAUUCGUCGUGUAGCGGUGAAAUGCUUAGAUAUGACGAAGAACUCCGAUUGCGAAGGCAGCUGACGGGAGCGCAACUGACGCUUAAGCUCGAAGGUGCGGGUAUCGAACAGGAUUAGAUACCCUGGUAGUCCGCACGGUAAACGAUGGAUGCCCGCUGUUGGUACCUGGUAUCAGCGGCUAAGCGAAAGCAUUAAGCAUCCCACCUGGGGAGUACGCCGGCAACGGUGAAACUCAAAGGAAUUGACGGGGGCCCGCACAAGCGGAGGAACAUGUGGUUUAA
rnacentral:rRNA from 1 species